rnacentral:rRNA from 1 species
GAUGAACGCUGGCGGCGUGCUUAACACAUGCAAGUCCAACGAUGAAGCCCAGCUUGCUGGGUGGAUUAGUGGCGAACGGGUGAGUAACACGUGAGUAACCUGCCCUUAACUCUGGGAUAAGCCUGGGAAACUGGGUCUAAUACCGGAUAGGAGCGUCCACCGCAUGGUGGGUGUUGGAAAGAUUUAUCGGUUUUGGAUGGACUCGCGGCCUAUCAGCUUGUUGGUGAGGUAAUGGCUCACCAAGGCGACGACGGGUAGCCGGCCUGAGAGGGUGACCGGCCACACUGGGACUGAGACACGGCCCAGACUCCUACGGGAGGCAGCAGUGGGGAAUAUUGCACAAUGGGCGCAAGCCUGAUGCAGCGACGCCGCGUGAGGGAUGACGGCCUUCGGGUUGUAAACCUCUUUCAGUAGGGAAGAAGCGAAAGUGACGGUACCUGCAGAAGAAGCACCGGCUAACUACGUG